ACAGCAGGGGCGCGACGUUCCCCCCGGAGCUCUAAUAUUCCCAGUUAUUGCUUGGAGACAGCAGGGACACAACUUUCCCCCCCUGAGCUCUGCUAUUCCCAGUUAUUGCUUGGCCCGGCGCAGUAACAGGAUCCUUCAGGUGCUUCAGGAAUUCAGAGCUCCAGUGACUCCAUUUAACAAAGACUGCAGGACAGAAGGAACUUCUCCUUCCCACAGAAGAGGCCAUGGAAUUCAGCAUUGAGAUGUAUCUCCCCGAUGGCUCCGGCUAUCUCAAUCGCGUUCCUCGGAUCACCUUGAGGAACAACCCAUCUCCAGGCUGGCCACGUUCAUUUGAUUGUAAAUGAGGUUCUCCCUCCUUUGUCCAG